rnacentral:ribozyme from 14 species
AAGAAGAAGAGGAAGAAAUUUUUUGUGUGAUUUUUUUUUUAUUUUUAUUGGACAUUAUUAUUUGUUAACAAAAAAACAGAGGGUGUAAGGGGAUGUUAUCACAAUCGUCGUCCUAAUACUUCUUUUUUCAUAUCAUCA